rnacentral:rRNA from 1 species
GACGAACGCUGGCGGCGUGCUUAACACAUGCAAGUCGAACGAAGUGGCGUACGGGUGAGUAACGCGUAAUCAACCUGCCCUUCAGAGGGGGACAAUAGUUGGAAACGACUGCUAAUCCCGCAUACUGAAGGAGGGUUUCGCGUCGGAUUGGCUAGUUGGCGGGGUAACGGCCCACCAAGGCGAUGAUCAGUAGCCGGUCUGGGAGGAUGGACGGCCACAUUGGGACUGAAACACAGCCCAGACUCCUACGGGAGGCAGCAGUGGGGAAUCUUCCGCAAUGGACGGAAAGCUGACGGGGCAACGCCGCGUGAGUGAUGACGGCCUUCGGGUUGUAAAGCUCUGUUAAUCGGGACGCGGUACCGGAAUAGAAAGCCACGGCUAACUACGUGCCAGCAGCCGCGGUAAUUC